AUACGUAGGGGGCAAGCGUUAUCCGGAUUUACUGGGUGUAAAGGGAGCGUAGACGGUUUGGCAAGUCUGAUGUGAAAGCCCGGGGCUCAACCGCGGGACUGCAUUGGAAACUGUCAGACUUGAGUGCAGGAGAGGUAAGUGGAAUUCCUAGUGUAGCGGUGAAAUGCGUAGAUAUUAGGAGGAACACCAGUGGCGAAGGCGGCUUACUGGGCUUUAACUGACGCUGAGGCCCGAAAGCGUGGGUAGCAAACAGGAUUAGAUACCCUGGUAGUCCACGCUGUAAACGAUGAGCACUAAGUGUCGGAUGAAUUUUCGGCGCUGCAGUUAACACAAUAAGUGCUCCGCCUGGGGAGUACGGUCGCAAGACUGAAACUUAAAGGAAUUGACGGGG
rnacentral:rRNA from 1 species